UGUGCUACAGACGCGUGUGGAGGUCAACCCAAAAUGGGCACAGUUCUCACCACAGAAGAGUGAAAGAGGAUCCUGGCAGGGAGACGGUAGUGUCCUGCAGAAUGGUGAUGGGCCAAUCUUACAAGAGACCACAGAAAACUGAUAUAGUGAACUAUAGAAACAGAGUGCCUGCUGCAGUAUGCGGAGGGAACACCCUGAGCAGAGAGCUCCAAUAGACCCAGGUCCAGUGUCUUGGCAGGGUGAAAUGGCACUGAUAUGGUGUCCUGCAGGAUGCUGUGUCCUGCAAUCCUGUGUGCUGUGCUACAGACGCGUCUGGAAGCCAACCUGAAAUAAGCACAGUCUCUCCACAGAGGAGUGAAAGAGGCUCCCAGAAGUGAGACUGAGUGCCUGUUGCAGUAUGACGAGGACACCAGUGACC